CGGAUUGUAGUCUGCAACCCGACUACAUGAAGCUGGAAUCGCUAGUAAUCGCGGAUCAGAAUGCCGCGGUGAAUACGUUCCCGGGCCUUGUACACACCGCCCGUCACACCAUGGGAGCCGGUAAUACCCGAAGUCAGUAGUCCAACCACGUGAGGACGCUGCCGAAGGUAGGAUUGGCGACUGGGGUGAAGUCGUAACAAGGUAAC
rnacentral:rRNA from 1 species